rnacentral:rRNA from 1 species
AGCAGCCGCGGUAAUUCCAGCUCCAAUAGCGUAUAUUAAAGUUGUUGCAGUUAAAAAGCUCGUAGUUGAAUUUCGGGAUUGACACAUCGGUCGUGCCUUAAGGGGUAUGAACUGGUGUAGUCAAUUUCUCACCUUCUGGAGAACCGCGAUGCCCUUAAUUGGGUGUCGCGGGGAACCAGGACCUUUACUUUGAAAAAUUAGAGUGUUUAAAGCAGGCAUUUUGCUUGAAUACAUUAGCAUGGAAUAAUAAAAUAGGACGGCAUGAUUCUAUUUUGUUGGUUUCUAGGAUCACCGUAAUGAUUAAUAGGGAUAGUUGGGGGCAUUAGUAUUCAAUUGUCAGAGGUGAAAUUCUUGGAUUUAUUGAAGACUAACUA